UUUAUUAAAUAGUUGUCAUAACAAUACAAAGGUGCACAUUUUGUGAGAAGAUGCAAAAAGCAUGAAGAUGAAAUCCUGUAAACAAUGAACAGAUUAAUCCAAAUUAAUUCCUAUGCUACUUGAACUUUUUCUCUUCUGUAGUCUGUUAUCUCUGAGUGCUUUCUGAAUCAGUGAUUGGCUACUUGUAAGAACGAGUCGGAUCGACCCAGAUGAAUUGGGUCAUGCCCAAUUUGCAUGCAUAUUGAUUUUGAUUCACACAAACCACAAUGGCCUCUGGGUAAUUUGCAUCACCUGCUGCACACCAAAUGACCCUGAUUCAGUCUGACUGGAGCUGCAGUGGAGCUCAUGUGGAAAAGCCCAAAGAGACUCACACAGAAAACUUUUUAAAUCACUGUUACCGAGUAAACUCAACUGUGAGUUUUCUGAAGACAAACCACUAGCACAUAGACCAGAGCUGGGAAAGCGUCAUGCUGCCAUCUGCUGGAUAGGAGGAGCACAUGCAGGCACAACAGCACAAAAUUAGUUUCCAACCGCUGCGACGACUUCAGAGAGAAGGCUUGGCUUCAAACACGCAAAAGUUCAUGAUCCAAUUGCAGAGACAUUAAACGUUCCCAGUGAUCACACAUUUGGAGUCUUGAUGAAACCUGACAGCUUUGGUAAUUUAAAUCGUCUGUCACUUUCUAAGUUUGAUAUGUCAGAAAUAAAUUAGCAGCCAGUAUCGUAGAGAGUUGAUGGUUUAUUUUUGGUUGGUGUGAAAACACUGUUGGGAAAUUUUAACUUGGACUUUUCUAUAAUCAAA